ACUACAGCAAAUUAUUUCUAUUUGCAUUUGCUAUGAUAGAGAUUGAGUGUAGGGUCAUGAGAGUGGUUUUGUUAUCAAUUAAGAAUAUAUAUUAUGGGACGCAAAAAAUUGACUAUUAUUAAUGAUCAAAAUCCAUAAAUUCUUUUAACUGUAAAGGAGAUCCUCCUAGGAACAUAUCAUAGUUAUUGCAUGGUUCAUAUAUCUAAAAAUCG
rnacentral:lncRNA from 1 species